GUGCUUGCUUUGGCAGCACAUACACUAAAAUUGGAUAUAGAGAAGAUUAGUAUGGCCCCUGCGCAAGGAUGACAUGCAAAUUCAUGAAGUGUUCCAUGUUUUU
ensembl:snRNA U6 U6 spliceosomal RNA